rnacentral:misc_RNA from 1 species
GAAAUGCGAUAAGUAAUGUGAAUUGCAGAAUUCAGUGAAUCAUCGAAUCUUUGAACGCACAUUGCGCCCGCCAGCAUUCUGGCGGGCAUGCCUGUUCGAGCGUCAUUUCAACCCUCGAGCCCCCCCGGGGGCCUCGGUGUUGGGGGACGGCACACCAGCCGCCCCCGAAAUGCAGUGGCGACCCCGCCGCAGCCUCCCCUGCGUAGUAGCACACACCUCGCACCGGAACGCGGAGGCGGUCACGCCGUAAAACGCCCAACUUUCUUAGAGUUGACCUCGGAUCAGGUAGGAAUACCCGCUGAACUUAAGC